UUAAGCGACUAAGCGUACACGGUGGAUGCCCUGGCAGUCAGAGGCGAUGAAGGACGUGCUAAUCUGCGAUAAGCGUCGGUAAGGUGAUAUGAACCGUUAUAACCGGCGAUUUCCGAAUGGGGAAACCCAGUGUGAUUCGUCACACUAUCAUUAACUGAAUCCAUAGGUUAAUGAGGCGAACCGGGGGAACUGAAACAUCUAAGUACCCCGAGGAAAAGAAAUCAACCGAGAUUCCCCCAGUAGCGGCGAGCGAACGGGGAGGAGCCCAGAGCCUGAAUCAGUGUGUGUGUUAGUGGAAGCGUCUGGAAAGGCGCGCGAUACAGGGUGACAGCCCCGUACACAAAAACACAUGCUGUGAGCUCGAUGAGUAGGGCGGGACACGUGGUAUCCUGUCUGAAUAUGGGGGACCAUCCUCCAAGGCUAAAUACUCCUGACUGACCGAUAGUGAACCAGUACCGUGAGGGAAAGGCGAAAAGAACCCCGGCGAGGGGAGUGAAAAGAACCUGAAACCGUGUACGUACAAGCAGUGGGAGCCUCUUUAUGGGGUGACUGCGUACCUUUGUAUAAUGGGUCAGCGACUUAUAUUCUGUAGCAAGGUUAACCGAAUAGGGGAGCCGAAGGAAACCGAGUCUUAACUGGGCGUUAAGUUGCAGGGUAUAGACCCGAAACCCGGUGAUUCAGCCAUGGGCAGGUUGAAGGUUGGGUAACACUAACUGGAGGACCGAACCGACUAAUGUUGAAAAAUUAGCGGAUGACUUGUGGCUGGGGUGAAAGGCCAAUCAAACCGGGAGAUAGCUGGUUCUCCCCGAAAGCUAUUUAGGUAGCGCCUCGUGAAUUCAUCUCCGGGGGUAGAGCACUGUUUCGGCAAGGGGGUCAUCCCGACUUACCAACCCGAUGCAAACUGCGAAUACCGGAGAAUGUUAUCACGGGAGACACACGGCGGGUGCUAACGUCCGUCGUGAAGAGGGAAACAACCCAGACCGCCAGCUAAGGUCCCAAAGUCAUGGUUAAGUGGGAAACGAUGUGGGAAGGCCCAGACAGCCGUGAUGUUGGCUUAGAAGCAGCCAUCAUUUAAAGAAAGCGUAAUAGCUCACUGGUCGAGUCGGCCUGCGCGGAAGAUGUAACGGGCUAAACCAUGCACCGAAGCUGCGGCAGCGACACUAUGUGUUGUUGGGUAGGGGAGCGUUCUGUAAGCCUGCGAAGGUGUACUGUGAGGUAUGCUGGAGGUAUCAGAAGUGCGAAUGCUGACAUAAGUAACGAUAAAGCGGGUGAAAAGCCCGCUCGCCGGAAGACCAAGGGUUCCUGUCCAACGUUAAUCGGGGCAGGGUGAGUCGACCCCUAAGGCGAGGCCGAAAGGCGUAGUCGAUGGGAAACAGGUUAAUAUUCCUGUACUUGGUGUUACUGCGAAGGGGGGACGGAGAAGGCUAUGUUGGCCGGGCGACGGUUGUCCCGGUUUAAGCGUGUAGGCUGGUUUUCCAGGCAAAUCCGGAAAAUCAAGGCUGAGGCGUGAUGACGAGGCACUACGGUGCUGAAGCAACAAAUGCCCUGCUUCCAGGAAAAGCCUCUAAGCAUCAGGUAACAUCAAAUCGUACCCCAAACCGACACAGGUGGUCAGGUAGAGAAUACCAAGGCGCUUGAGAGAACUCGGGUGAAGGAACUAGGCAAAAUGGUGCCGUAACUUCGGGAGAAGGCACGCUGAUAUGUAGGUGAAGUCCCUCGCGGAUGGAGCUGAAAUCAGUCGAAGAUACCAGCUGGCUGCAACUGUUUAUUAAAAACACAGCACUGUGCAAACACGAAAGUGGACGUAUACGGUGUGACGCCUGCCCGGUGCCGGAAGGUUAAUUGAUGGGGUUAGCGGUAACGCGAAGCUCUUGAUCGAAGCCCCGGUAAACGGCGGCCGUAACUAUAACGGUCCUAAGGUAGCGAAAUUCCUUGUCGGGUAAGUUCCGACCUGCACGAAUGGCGUAAUGAUGGCCAGGCUGUCUCCACCCGAGACUCAGUGAAAUUGAACUCGCUGUGAAGAUGCAGUGUACCCGCGGCAAGACGGAAAGACCCCGUGAACCUUUACUAUAGCUUGACACUGAACAUUGAGCCUUGAUGUGUAGGAUAGGUGGGAGGCUUUGAAGUGUGGACGCCAGUCUGCAUGGAGCCGACCUUGAAAUACCACCCUUUAAUGUUUGAUGUUCUAACGUUGGCCCCUAAUCGGGGUUGCGGACAGUGUCUGGUGGGUAGUUUGACUGGGGCGGUCUCCUCCUAAAGAGUAACGGAGGAGCACGAAGGUUGGCUAAUCCUGGUCGGACAUCAGGAGGUUAGUGCAAUGGCAUAAGCCAGCUUGACUGCGAGCGUGACGGCGCGAGCAGGUGCGAAAGCAGGUCAUAGUGAUCCGGUGGUUCUGAAUGGAAGGGCCAUCGCUCAACGGAUAAAAGGUACUCCGGGGAUAACAGGCUGAUACCGCCCAAGAGUUCAUAUCGACGGCGGUGUUUGGCACCUCGAUGUCGGCUCAUCACAUCCUGGGGCUGAAGUAGGUCCCAAGGGUAUGGCUGUUCGCCAUUUAAAGUGGUACGCGAGCUGGGUUUAGAACGUCGUGAGACAGUUCGGUCCCUAUCUGCCGUGGGCGCUGGAGAACUGAGGGGGGCUGCUCCUAGUACGAGAGGACCGGAGUGGACGCAUCACUGGUGUUCGGGUUGUCAUGCCAAUGGCACUGCCCGGUAGCUAAAUGCGGAAGAGAUAAGUGCUGAAAGCAUCUAAGCACGAAACUUGCCCCGAGAUGAGUUCUCCCUGACUCCCUGAGAGUCCUGAAGGAACGUUGAAGACGACGACGUUGAUAGGCCGGGUGUGUAAGCGCAGCGAUGCGUUGAGCUAACCGGUACUAAUGAACCGUGAGGCUUAACCU
rnacentral:rRNA from 1 species